ensembl:lncRNA
CCUCUGCUUAUCAUCUGAGAGGGCAUCCGUGACAAUGACGACAGCCCUCCGUGCCAAACCCACUAUCUCUCUAUUGCAUUUCUUAGUGGUUUUGUAGCAGUUGCAGUGUUAGAAAUUACCACAUUUUAAAACUCUGGUUUUUUUAUUCUCUGUCUCUCCCCAUGUAAUGGCGGCACUGUGACAGCCAGCACUGGGAAUGUAAUCAGAUGGGAGAGCACGUGUUCCAAAAGGCUCACCUCCUCCACAAAUGUAAGGUGUUUUGCUGACGUGAUGUUUGUUUUAAGACUUUGAUGAAAGGGGGAGGACCUCGGCUGAUGCGAGCCAGGGCCGGAUUGCAGCUCCCACUCGGGCGGACAGAGCAGCGUGUGGAGCCUUGCACUGUGAACUUCUGCUCCAGAAUGACUGCAGGCAUAAGUCAGGAAAGCCGAGAGAGCCCACAGACCCCCUGGAGGAAGGGGAUUGCUCCUGCACGACCUGGGAGACACCCCAAACGCUGCCAUAGAUCAAAAAGGCAUAGCCCAUUACCCAAGAUAAAUCGUCCACAUAAAAGACGUGAAAAGAUAACAGGAGCUUUUACGAACGCUUUCGGGAAUUAUCCUUUUUUGCCACCUCACUCCAUCCCGUUAUAACCAGCAAGUGUCCAUUAGGUUUUGCCGCAUCAGACAUUUUCAGAAUCUAAUGACUGUUAUAAAGGAGGCAACAAUACAUCAGAGAACAAACAUUGGAGAGCUGGAAUUCCAUAAAAAGCUGAGUUGUUGCUAAAUAAACACCCAGUAGGCAAAUCAUUUCUUCAACUGCAGUCCACACAUUAUGUCCUACCUCAUGUUGGAGUUUUGGGAAGUCUUCCAGCCAGGGGCAGAUACAUCAGUGAGCCGGAAGACGUCACAUUAAAUAAGUCACUACCGCUAUUGGUGGCCAUUCUCUUUUUCCUGGAAAAUCCGAAUUUACCUAGAAGGACAUCAUCAUUAUAAAUAAUGCUGUUUGAUGUGGAUUCUCUGGUUAAAAAAAAAAGAAGGAAAAAGUAACAAAAGAAGAACGUAAAAGAAAAGAAAGGAAAGAAAAAAAAAGAAAGAGGAAGAAAUAAAUACACCUUUAUCCAGUUUUACCAUGCCUGAAAUAAACAACUCUGAUGUGUGCCUGUGCGAUGGUGGGUUUGGGCAUGUAGGAACACUUGAGUGCCUCCCGCCUCCUCCUCCUCUCCUCCCCAUUCCACAGACUAGUUCUGUCUCUGGUCUUCUCUGAAGGAUUCGGACUUCUGGCUUGCACCUUUGCUCCGGUAUUUCUUCCCUCCAUUCCACAGUCCUCAUCGGGGCUGGGUCUCCGAUUUAGGGCACCUCUCUGAGCCCCUCUGACUGCGGCUUGUUGCCCUGACUUCCUCUCGCAGUGUUGCCGUUCACUCAUUUUUUUUUCUGGCCACAGAAGCUGUUCCUCGAACAAACUCAGCAAGUUUCCACUGUAGACCUUCCUGCUUACUCUCCCCUCUUCAGAGAAAAUGCCUUCCCUGGAUAAAUACACGACUUGCUAUCUGAAUUUGCUAAGGACUCUGUGCCAAGUUACCUCCUUGGGCGCCUCCUCUCACCGUCCCACACCUCAGAGGUGGCAAACUAGGGUCCACAGGUCAAGUCACCCAAUACCUGUUUUUUUUAUGGGCUGUGAGCUAAGGAUUGUUUUUAUGAUUUCAAAUGACUGGGAAAAAAUCAAAAGCAAAAUAGUAGUUCGCAGCACGUGAGAAUGAUAGGAAAUCCAAUUUUCAGGGUCCGCAAAUAAAAUUUCAUGGGAACAGUCACAUUCAUUCAUUUCCUUAUUGUCCAUUUCUGCUUUUCAGUACAACUGCAGAGUUGAGUAAUUGUGGAACAGAUCGUAUGGCUCAUAAAGCCUAAAAUAUCUACUAUCUGGCCCUUUACAGAGAAGGCUUCUGGGCCUUGGCUGCUAAUGUCUGUCACACCAACCCGCCACUCUAAGUCCCUCACCCAGCUUUACUUUUCUUCAUAGCACUUGUCACUGUGCUAUUAAGUAAAUGUUUUUAUUAAAAUUUGAUAUUCAGAGAAAUGCAAAGAUUAUAUGGAUUACCAGAUCUGCUACUCACAUCAAGAAAUGGAAAAGUACAGCACCCAGAUGGCUUCCAGAAAUGCCCCACUCAUUAUCUCCCCCAAUACAACUGUUUUGAUUCAUAAUACUAUGCGUUAAUUUUGUUUCUAUAUAAUCUUUACAUAGAUG